CUCUUCUGGAGCUUUGCAGUGAGACUGGAAUGACUUGAACCUAUCAUUAAAUAAGAGUUCCUGAUAGAACCGCAAAUCCCAUGCGACAAUGGACCUCUCUUCAAGAGAAAGUACACAAGCAACUUUCUUCAUGAUACAUGCUUCUGUGCAGAACACUUCUCUUCAAGACUGAAGUCCACUUAGUAGUUCUUAUCACACAAGUCAUCACAGAGGAAGUUGUACAAUUUUUAAGAUCUUCAUUAGCCUUCUUUAAACUAUCUUCCAGAUGUCAGCAGAGGGGCACUAUGACCAAAUGGCAGCUGACGUGGAAGUGCACAUGAACCAGAGUUAUGCCACUGAAUUCCUCCAUGAAGAAAAAAUUGCACCAACUUCACCAAACAUUCAUCAGUGCUUGUUGAAUGUUUAUGGAGAUCAAACAGUGAAUGUGAGUGACGUGUGGAAAAUCAAACCCUAUAGCCUGUAAGGAUACAGAGAAGACUUACACUGUGAAAUUUGUUCCUCCGGUUAACUGAUCUUCUACUCAACAACUCUCCCAGACAUCCUUACCAUAAAGUUAUGCUCCAUAUUGCACCUUAAGAGACAAGGCAGUAGCCCUGUAAGUCUUCAUUUGAAUUCCA